rnacentral:rRNA from 1 species
CCUACGGGUGGCAGCAGUGAGGAAUAUUGGUCAAUGGGCGCGAGCCUGAACCAGCCACGUAGCGUGAAGGAUGACUGCCCUACGGGUUGUAAACUUCUUUUAUAAAGGAAUACAGUGAGGCACGUGUGCCUUUUUGUAUGUACUUUAUGUAUAAGGAACGGCUAACUCCGUGCCAGCCGCCGAGGUAAUACGGAGGAUCCGAGCGGUAUCCGGAUUUAUUGGGUUUAAAGGGAGCGUAGAUGGGUUGUUAAGUCAGUUGUGAAAGUUUGCGGCUCAACCGUAAAAUUGCAAUUGAUACUGGCAGUCUUGAGUACAGUUGAGGUAGGCGGAAUUCGAGGUGUAGCGGUGAAAUGCUUAGAUAUCACGAAGAACUCCGAUUGCGAAGGCAGCUUACUAAACUGCCACUGACGUUGAUGCUCGAAAGUGUGGGUAUCAAACAGGAUUAGAUACCCUUGUAGUC